UACGAAGGGGGCUAGCGUUGCUCGGAAUCACUGGGCGUAAAGCGCACGUAGGCGGCUUCUUAAGUCAGGGGUGAAAUCCUGGAGCUCAACUCCAGAACUGCCCUUGAUACUGAGGAGCUUGAGUCCGGGAGAGGUGAGUGGAACUGCGAGUGUAGAGGUGAAAUUCGUAGAUAUUCGCAAGAACACCAGUGGCGAAGGCGGCUCACUGGCCCGGUACUGACGCUGAGGUGCGAAAGCGUGGGGAGCAACAGGG
rnacentral:rRNA from 1 species